CCAUCUUAUUUACAUUGGUUUCAAAAACAGAUUUCGUCAAAUUUGUCUUUCCAAAAAUAAAUAAAUGCAAGUGUUACUACCAGAAGCUCUUUCGACCAAUUCUAUAAACAUAGUCCUUAAGUAAGAUGCAAAUACUGUAAGAAUUAUAUUUCUAUAAUUUGGCUAUAUCUCUUUCUUCACCAAGAAAUGUUAUGAACCAGUACAGUUGAUGAACAUUCUGAGAACAAAAAUGAAUAAUAAAAGAUGAAAUGAUACCAAAAGUGAAGAUAAGACUUAAUAUAAAAACAGUACCUUUUUUUUACAAAGAUAUAUUUUUCUUUUCGUUUCAUCUCAAUUUUCUUGAAGUGAAUUUAUAAAUGUAAAUGAGUUUAGACAAAAAUUAUAUUUAGGAAGUUAAGUAUUGUUCAUAUACUGUUACUGCUAAAA
rnacentral:lncRNA from 1 species